UGCCAGCCGCCGCGGUAAUACGGAGGGUGCAAGCGUUAUCCGGAAUUAUUGGGUUUAAAGGGUCCGCAGGCGGACGUAUAAGUCAGUGGCGAAAGCCUACAGCUCAACUGUAGAACUGCCAUUGAUACUGUACAUCUUGAAUUUGAUCGAAGUGGGCGGAAUGUAUCAUGUAGCGGUGAAAUGCUUAGAUAUGAUACAGAACACCGAUAGCGUAGGCAGCUUGCUAAACUAUAACUGACGCUCAGGCACGAAAGCGUGGGGAGCAAACAGGAUUAGAUA
rnacentral:rRNA from 1 species